UGUGGGUGAAGAGAGUUCCCUGAGGGGCUGGGAGGGUCGCUGAGGGGAAAGCAGGUGCCUUGUUUGUUGCUGAGGAUCACUGAGAGGCAACUGGGUGCCCCGAGUACCGGUGAGGAACUUUGAGAGUCACUGAGGGAGAGGUGUGUUUUCUCCAGGUCCCUGAGGGGAAGGUAGGUUUCCUGCAUGUUGCUGAGGGGGGAGGCAGGUGCCCGGUGUGUCCCUGAGGAUCUCUGAGGGCGAAGAGGGUGCCCCGAGGGAAGGCGUCGGAGAAGAAAGAAGAGACAGGAGUGCAACUUGGAGGCAAGAGCGAAGAAGACGAGCAGCAGCGUCGAGCUCAAGAGGGGGCACGACAGAGACCCUCUGGGCAAAUGCACAUCCCUGGCACCCCCUGGGCAGGGAUCCGUAAGCAUCCGGCGGGCACCUUCAGGCUGCCCCGGCCGGCUUUGCGCUGGGCGACCUCCCUGUAAGCAGGGCUGGGUCUUUGCUUUGCUUUGCUUUGCUGGCCUUUGGCCAUGGCGCUCCUUUGGCUGCCCGGAGAGGGGGGCAA